UACGUCCCGAGCGCUUAAAGGGAGCCGCACGUGGUUUGUUCGUUCUUUCGCUCGCGCCGCUGCUCGUCUUGCACUUUGUCUACGGAGGGGAGGAAGGAGACGAUGAGGCCUUGCAGGCGCCGAGGUUUGUUUCAUUUGCCACGUGGGGCCAGACCUGGAGUGGCAGGAGGGAGCAUGGAUCCUGACCCGCCUGCUUAGAAGCUAGCUGCCCUAAAGGGAGCUGAAGCUGUCCUCUUCCCAAGAGGAGCAUUCCUGAUUCCUGUAGCCCUGGCUUCAAAGAGGGUGAGAAGAAGCAACUGUUUGUUUUCUCCUCUGGGUGGCAGCAGGGUCAAGAACAGAGGGCAAUGGAUUUCCAAGAGCCUGGAAAAACCAAAUGCUUCCCAACCAAGAGGUUAGUGGCUGAUGGCCAAGACCUUCCCAGGUGCACCCCACCACCUCUAUCUCUUUGCAUAUGGCAUACCUGGCAGUGUGGCUGUGACUCCUAGAAAACAAGUAGAGGCUCAUUCCAAUCCAACUUCAUCUUUGCAAAGUUUUGGGAACAGGGCAGAAGACAGAAACCUGUUUUGAAAUGUCUCUUCUGUCUGUAUGUGGCCACAAAUAUUUAUAAGCUGUGAGAGUAAAUAAAACUUAUUUUUGAAUGUACAA